rnacentral:rRNA from 4 species
GACAUGACUCUCGGCAAUGGAUAUCUCGGCUCUCGCAUCGAUGAAGAGCGCAGCGAAAUGCGAUACUUG